GUGGUACCUACCAUUGCGCCCCAAACUGUUGCAUGUGUAAGGCGUGACCACUUGAAAAUACGAUGCAUGUCCUGUGUUUAUAAUUAAAAUGAGCCGUGUUAUUUUUGUGCGGAUGAUUUUGGGUCUGGUUGUGAUUAGUGGUACGGUGGGGAUUUGAUAGUACAGGACCAUGGGUCUGAAAUCAUUUCAGAUUGUAUUUGAGAACCCUACCCAAACCUACUACUCUGGCGAAACAGUAUCUGGACGUGUUGUUUUGUCUCUCAACUCGUCAAAAAGUAUUCGUGGUAUUGUAAUAAAAUUUAAAGGUGAAGCAAAUGUCCAUUGGACUGAAAAUGAGUCACGAAAAAAUAGUGAUGGAACUACUGAGGAACACACUGUAUAUUUUCAAGGAAAUGAAAAGUAUUUUGAAAGUAAAUACCAUUUGGUUGGUGGGCGUGCUGAUGAAAUGGUACUGCCAGAAGGAGAACACUGCUUUCCCUUCAGUACUGUCCUACCUCCAAAAUUGCCAUCAUCUUUUGAAGGAGAAUUUGGUCAUAUUCGAUACACAGUCAAGGUUGUGGUUGAUCGACCAUGGAAAUUUGACCAUGAGAUAAAAUCAGCAUUUACUGUAAUCUCACCAGUUGAUCUAAACACACAUGAAACAGCAAAGAAUCCUUCGAUGCAAGAAGUGGAGAAACGCUUCUGUUGCUUAUGCUGUGAAUCCGGACCUCUUACCAUGGCAUUGUCACUGCCUGUCACAGGAUAUGUGCCAGGGCAAGAUAUACCAGUCACUAUUGAGAUUGACAAUGCUAGUAAUGUUUGUGUGACAGAUGUAAAGUGCAAGCUCAAGAAGGUAUGUGGUAAGCUAAUUACUUUCAUUGCAACAUCUCCAUAUGGAAGUUCCCGUGAAGAAGAGCUUACUGUUUCAGAAGUUAUAUUUGAUUCAGUUCAACCAAGACACUCCAACACUGCAACACAAAAGAUGACUGUUCCACCUUUACCACCAUCUGACUUGGAUAACUGUGAGAUAAUUGAUCUUGCAUAUUACUUGAAGGUAGUUGCAGAGGUAAGUGGUUGUCAUAAUGCCCUGAAAACAAGUGCACCAAUCAUCAUUGGAACAAUUCCAUUGACUUCAUAUCAACCAGUCUUUACUCCAAUGCCAAUGGAAGGUGGUAAUGUGAGUGGUGGUAUUGGGUGGACUGUUCCGUCCUUGGGUUCAGAGGCUCAGUCACCAUAUGUGCAACCCAGUAUACGACCUCAAGGAGAACCAGACUGUGUACCUAGUGCACCACCGCCUGAUGGAGGAGAAAAAUACAAGCAGCCACAUACGCCAUUUCAUGGAUCCACAUCAUUAUCUUAUCCAGAUAUUCCUCCACCGACAUUCACUGAGAGUUUCUUUGGCCCUCAGAACAUUCAAGAUGCUGAAGAUAGCCAGUACAUUCAGGGAAACUUAAAUUAUGUUCCUAAAUACCCAGUGUACAAUUUUGUAAGCAAGUGAAUUGCUUAAAAGGGGAGACAUGUUUAUUACUUAGAAUUGACAGGUAAUUAACUCAAAGUAUAUGUUUCACUUAGUGAUCUUUGUUCUUGUAGCAGUGCAAUCAGACCAUUGACAGUUUUAAUUUGCAUAUUUAUAAUAUUGAUACAAAGGCUGUUUCAAACAUCACACAUGCUUAACACUAUGCCAGUCCUGCUUACAUUGAAACUGUCUGAACCUCUUUGACUGUGCUUUAAGGAGCCCUGCAAAUAAUAUAUUAAAUGAAUGUGUCAUGUUAAAUGUACAGCUUUCAAAAAUUGUAUUUAUCUUGAAUGCCAUAGAAGGUAUAUUAUCACUUUAAAAAUUUUGACAGAAUAUUUGCAAAGUACUAAAGUUGUAAUUUAUAUAUUCACCUGAACUUUGACAUGUUAUUGUUUGCCUUAUCUGUUUAGUGGAAAUAGAGGGACAAAUUUAAGUAAAAGAAACUGUGCAAAUUUUGAUCUAAGCAUCGAGUUAAUUUCUUGUCAUAAGUUGAAUCAGGGCUAUCAUAUUUCCAGUGGAUGGAAUCCUUGGGAUUGGGAAAGCACUGUUUUUUGUGUGUUGCUUAUGUUGGGAUGCAAUUUUCAUUCAACAAAAAUGUACAUGCAUUUUCAUUCAGAACAAGAAUAUGUAUGUAUUUUCAGAAAUAUUGGUAAGGUAUGUAGAUAUACAGGGUAUGUGUUAUUAUUUACGUACACAAGAGGAUGAAAACUUUUAGGAUAAUCCCAAUAACCAUAGUUUGGCUUAUGUAAAGUGAUUCCAAUUCCAUUAUAACAUAGAAUUAAAACUGAAGCCAAAUUAUUAUUCCUGGUUUUUGUAUUAUCUAUCAAAUGAAACUAACACAAAUUUAAACAUGGGGAAGACUGAAAAUUUUAAUUUGGAAAGAGUUGAUUGUGAAUGGUUUGUAUUGCACUCCAACAUGAUAAAGUCUCUUCUUAUGCCAUAUCAGUUCUAAGUCUAAUUUGGAUAUCUGGCCAGUCUGAUAAAAAUAAAUUAAUUUUAUAAUGUUUUAAAAUGUUCAUAGAGAUUAAUAUGACUAUGUUUUUAUUAAAUGGUUGUGAAUGCUAUGUUGACAAGAGUUAAUUAUUUUUUAAAGAGAGCUACCACAAUAUUUAUAUUGUUAGUAGUUGAGAUUCGUAAACUUAAAAUACUCUCAUUGUAAUACUUCACACCAGUCAUAUGUAGAAGUGACCUGUUCCCAAAGCCCAUCCUGUUAUUACUCAGGAAAAUGAAUAUCUAACUCAGAUCCAUGUAUUUUAGUGAAAACUCUAACACACUGUAAUUGUAUUGAAGAAUGCUAACUUUUGUAAACAGUUGCUGAAAGACAUAUGUUAUGUAUAUUAUUAAUACAAAUUGUCAGCUUACUUUGAAAACGGUCUGGUGUCUGUGUUUAAAUACCAUGUACCUGCUGUCAAUAAUAGUGCCCUCAGCAUCCAAUUUAGAAAUCUUGUAUUCCAGCAUUGCAAACUGUAGUUCUCUUAUAGUCUUUAGCUGGUUAUAGUACUUAACACACAGCAGAAUGCAACACCCAUGCCCCUAGUAACUGGCAGUUUCAUUUAACACACCAAAACAGACCAAACCUGUAACAUGAUGCUUAUAAGGAAACAAAAGAAAUCAACCAACUGCCAUCUAUGCAUAUCUUUAUUGCUGCAUUCAGAACCUAAUUAUGAGGACUUAAUACUACAUCUCAUGGUUCAUAAUAUGCAGGGAUAAAAUUAAAGGCAAAUAAUUUUAAUAUUGCACCUUCAGCAGAGAAUACAGUGUUUUUAUACUAUAUAAAAACAAGUCCUUACAGGAACUAAAACCUACAAGAAUCUCUGCUUACAUAUUUGUAUAUGAUACUUCUGACAUAAUUUUAGGUUAAAAUAGCAUUCUGAAACAAAGUAAACAUUAGAAAAGAUACUACAACAACUCAGAUAAUAAGUAAGACAUCAUUUCUAUAAAUGUAAUUGGAUAUGGACAGUAAGUGGUUAUUUAAUGUGUGUAAUAGUAUUCAUUACCAUUGUAUAAGUGUCUAAAUAGAUAAGUAAUCUCCCAUAUUUGAGGAGGCCAAGGUCCAUCAAGGACUCUAGAACCACAGAUAAAAAUAAGUGACUUUAAUCAGUUACUAUCUUUUAAUUAUGUCUAGUUAUUUUAACACACAAUAUGAAAUGACACAACUGAUUUUAUAUAACAAUGUCUCAACAAAGGUAACUAUAUAAUGCAAUUUUCAAGAUCAAUACAAAAUAUUAUGAUGACUAUAUGUAGUUAAAACAUGCCAUGCUUAAUGGUAUGUCAUAAAACUGGCAAACAGAAAGAAAAAUUUGUUAAGUUAGUAAUAAAGACUGACUGAAAAUCAAACUAGUGAAUUCAGAUUCACAACAGGAUGCUUACAUACAAUGUAAUUCUUAUUUCCUUACCAACAAAGUAAGCUAUUUUUAAUUUUGUUUAUUGCAUGUUAUGGCUAUAAAAAGUAUGCUUUAAUCCAUAUGCAUAAGAGUAGUUGUUAGUGUGUGUUUGUUUUAAGUAACAGUUGUAACAAACUGUACAAACAUGGAAGGACAUCAAACUUCAUAACCAAUCAUAUUGACAAAAUUCUUAAAUUUGUAUCAGGUACUUAUGUUUACUUAAGGUAAAUCCAUAAAUGACAGUGAAUAUUUACUUUCAAUUCUUGAAACUCCUGAACAAAAUAAUUUGGUUUUCUGCUUGUUUUAAACAAGAUGUAUAUACCAAAUGAACUGAUUUCUUUUCAUUUUAUGAAAUUUAGGCUAAUGCAUUAAUAACAAUGUGUGAAAAAUUAUGACUACAGGUAGCUGUUAAGCAGUAGAAAAUCUGUGUACGUUCAGGACUAAAUCUGAUUUUAAAAUAUUGGUCAUGCCCAUAAUUGCAUUUACAUUCAAAGGGAUUAGAGUAUAAUGCAUACAAAGUAUGAAAGUGAUUAAGAAACAGGGGUAUAUCAAUAAAUAAAGAUACAUAGUCACAUUUUAUAAGAUAUUAAAUUAUCAUCAAAGUUAUUACUUAUUGUUGCUAUAAAAUAUUCAAGUCUUAAUCUUGUGAACAAACUGUAUCAUUUGUUUAUGUGUAGAACUUGUCCCAUUUUCCAGGUAUUUGGAGGACACUUACUGAUGACAUUUUUAGGACAGGGCAGAAGUAAACAAGUGAUGGAUAUGUUGGUAAAAAGAAUGGGCUAUGAACUAACAAGGAGAUAAUGUAUUAGUUUACCAGUGUUUCAGAAGUCCUUGCAGCCUCCAUCAUCAGAGUGACCAGACUACAUUUUGCUACAACCCAGAAGACAGCCAUCUUCAGACUCACUGCCAUGAAAACCUCAUAUUCCACCAUUAAGCCUGUUACAAAGUUGUUGAAUACUUAUCAGUGCCCUAUAAGUUGCUUUGUUUAUGUUGUAACAUAAAGAAAUAAAUUAAUAUUUUGUAAUUUAA